AUGUGGGUUCAAUUCCCAGCACUCACUGGGUGGCUAAUAAUUGUCUUUGACUCCAGUUCUAGGGAAUCUGAUGCCCUCUUCUGGCCUCAUGGGUACCAGGCACACAGACAUACAUACCUGGAAGGCUGUGCUGGAACUCAUUCCUGUAUGCUAGCCUCCCAGUGCUGGGAUUACAGGAGCACUUCGACUAGCUUUUGUAUAUCUGGACAUUGAUAAAAGACCCCAUCUUCCUCUCAGUCUUCAUGUGGCAUUCAUUCUCCCACCAUGCAAGCACAUCUCUAAAGAUACGAACACUGUCAGAUUGAACUGACUCCUACUUUAUGACUUCAGCUUAAUUUUAUGGCCUGCAAAAGAUGAUGUCUUCAAAUAAUAUUAUGUUUGUGUAGGUAUGGGUGUGAGGUAGGACUUCCGUACCUUCUGAAUGGACAUAACUCAACCCAUAUCAGUAUACAGCAAAGAAAAACUAAGCAGAGAAGGUAAGAGAAGAGAGAGUAUGGGAGGCAGACCAGAAACUUAAAAUAGAGCACUCACUGCAGUAUUCAAAACAUUUUUAAAUGAGGGUUCACUGCAUCUCAGUAUUUAAUAUAAUAAAAAACACAAAAUGAAUUCUCACUGGCCUGUGGAAAACUCACUGUAAGAGUUGUCUACAGGGAUGAGGAAGGGACAGUCUGCAACACUGUCUUAUAAAGUAACAAUUCUAGUUCUUUAGAACUAGCCUGAUCCUAGAGGCAGAAAUAAGGUGCUAGUUACUAGUUUGGACAUUAGUGUUCACACCUAUUCUAAUUUUUAAUAUUUGUGAAAACUGGGCACUGGGCAUAGGUAAGCUUUGGCCGAGUGAAGAAGUCUUCAUCAUCCGGCUCUGAUAGCUGGGAGGUCUUUUCUGAUCGAAGGACAGAGGAAUAAAACACUGAUGCAGGAAAAUAUAUAUUAUGUAAUAUAUGUAUUAUAAUCUUACCUCUCGGGAGGCAGAAAUAGGAGGAUCACUGCAAGUUCAAGGCCAGACAAGGCUGCAUAUUUUGACCCUGCCUGAAAAAGUAGAAUAGUUAAGCUGUAAGUUUUGCUUUGAUUUGUUUUUGGAGCAUUUCCUUUUGAGCACAGUUUCCAGGCUCAUCUUGUAUUAUCUCCUCCUCCAUUUCUCCAAGAUGUCUGACUUUCUUUCACUCAAAAGUGUGCGCCUUGUUGCUGCUGUGGUAUUUAGCAUCUAGACUCUUAGCUACAGCAAAAGGAAAUAAGUGUGUAUACUAAUUGAUGCAUCUAUGUUAAGCCAAUCGUAAGUUCACACUGUGUGAAGCUCUCAAUUUAUUACUACAGGAAUGAUCCUAUCAAAUUUGCCUUCCUUCUUAUAACCCCCACUCUCCCACUCACAUAGUGAGAAGCCCAUACUUCUGUAUUUAUAGGCAACCUCCCUUUGUAGCCCAGACUGUCUUCAAAUUCAUAGCAAUCUUCCUGUAGCUUGCCUCCUGUUAGGAUUAUAGGAAUUCACUACCAUGCCCAACUUGUAAUCCUUUAUAUUUUUUAAAAUUAAAUUGAUUGACUGAU